rnacentral:rRNA from 1 species
GACGAACGCUGGCGGCGUGCCUAAUACAUGCAAGUCGAACGCUUCUUUCCUCCCGAGUGCUUGCACUCAAUUGGAAAGAGGAGUGGCGGACGGGUGAGUAACACGUGGGUAACCUACCCAUCAGAGGGGGAUAACACUUGGAAACAGGUGCUAAUACCGCAUAACAGUUUAUGCCGCAUGGCAUAAGAGUGGAAGGCGCUUUCGGGUGUCGCUGAUGGAUGGACCCGCGGUUCAUUAGCUAGUUGGUGAGGUAACGGCUCACCAAGGCCACGAUGCAUAGCCGACCUGAGAGGGUGAUCGGCCACACUGGGACUGAGACACGGCCCAGACUCCUACGGGAGGCAGCAGUAGGGAAUCUUCGGCAAUGGACGAAAGUCUGACCGAGCAACGCCGCGUGAGUGAAGAAGGUUUUCGGAUCGUAAAACUCUGUUGUUAGAGAAGAACAAGGACGUUAGUAACUGAACGUCCCCUGACGGUAUCUAACCAGAAAGCCACGGCUAACUACGUG